AGGUGCUGCAUGGUUGUCGUCAGCUCGUGCCGUGAGGUGUCGGCUUAAGUGCCAUAACGAGCGCAACCCUUGUUGUCAGUUACUAACAGGUUCCGCUGAGGACUCUGACAAGACUGCCAUCGUAAGAUGUGAGGAAGGUGGGGAUGACGUCAAAUCAGCACGGCCCUUACGUCCGGGGCUACACACGUGUUACAAUGGGGGGUACAGAGGGCCGCUACCACGCGAGUGGAUGCCAAUCCCAAAAACCUCUCUCAGUUCGGACUGGAGUCUGCAACCCGACUCCACGAAGCUGGAUUCGCUAGUAAUCGCGCAUCAGCCACGGCGCGGUGAAUACGUUCCCGGGCCUUGUACACACCGCCCGUCAAGCCAUGGGAGCCGGGGGUACCUGAAGUGCGUAACCGCGAGGAGCGCCCUAGGGUAAAACUGGUGACUGGGGCUAAGUCGUAACAAGGUAGCCGUACCGGAAGGUGCGGCUGGAUCACCUC
rnacentral:rRNA from 1 species